rnacentral:rRNA from 1 species
AUGCCGUGGUGCGCCAGCUGCGUCACGGCCGUGAGAGCCGUGGUCUCCUGGCCGCCGCCCUGGGUGCCCGUGGCGAAGAAGACGCCUGCGGGCUUGCCGGCAAGGGACUGCUCCUGCCAGAGGCCGCCGGUGGAGUCAAAGAAGGCCUUCAUCUGCGCGGCCAUCAUGCCGAACCGCGUCGGGAAGCCGAACAGGAUGCCGUCGGCCUCAGCCAGCUGCCGUGCCGUUAUGACGGGGUGA